UACGUAGGGACCAAGCGUUGUUCGGAUUUACUGGGCGUAAAGGGCGCGUAGGCGGUGCGGUAACUCACUUGUGAAAUCUCUGAGCUUAACUCAGAACGGCCAAGUGAUACUGCAGUACUAGAGUGCGGAAGGGGCAAUCGGAAUUCUUGGUGUAGCGGUGAAAUGCGUAGAUAUCAAGAGGAACACCUGAGGUGAAGACGGGUUGCUGGGCCGACACUGACGCUGAUGCGCGAAAGCCAGGGGAGCAAACGGG
rnacentral:rRNA from 1 species